rnacentral:rRNA from 1 species
AGAGUUUGAUCCUGGCUCAGGAUGAACGCUGGCGGCGUGCCUAAUACAUGCAAGUCGAGCGAACGGACGAGAAGCUUGCUUCUCUGAUGUUAGCGGCGGACGGGUGAGUAACACGUGGAUAACCUACCUAUAAGACUGGGAUAACUUCGGGAAACCGGAGCUAAUACCGGAUGAUAUUUUGAACCGCAUGGUUCAAAAGUGAAAGACGGUCUUGCUGUCACUUAUAGAUGGAUCCGCGCUGCAUUAGCUAGUUGGUAAGGUAACGGCUUACCAAGGCAACGAUGCAUAGCCGACCUGAGAGGGUGAUCGGCCACACUGGAACUGAGACACGGUCCAGACUCCUACGGGAGGCAGCAGUAGGGAAUCUUCCGCAAUGGGCGAAAGCCUGACGGAGCAACGCCGCGUGAGUGAUGAAGGUCUUCGGAUCGUAAAACUCUGUUAUUAGGGAAGAACAUAUGUGUAAGUAACUGUGCACAUCUUGACGGUACCUAAUCAGAAAGCCACGGCUAACUACGUGCCAGCAGCCGCGGUAAUACGUAGGUGGCAAGCGUUAUCCGGAAUUAUUGGGCGUAAAGCGCGCGUAGGCGGUUUUUUAAGUCUGAUGUGAAAGCCCACGGCUCAACCGUGGAGGGUCAUUGGAAACUGGAAAACUUGAGUGCAGAAGAGGAAAGUGGAAUUCCAUGUGUAGUGGUGAAAUGCGCAGAGAUAUGGAGGAACACCAGUGGCGAAGGCGACUUUCUGGUCUGUAACUGACGCUGAUGUGCGAAAGCGUGGGGAUCAAACAGGAUUAGAUACCCUGGUAGUCCACGCCGUAAACGAUGAGUGCUAAGUGUUAGGGGGUUUCCGCCCCUUAGUGCUGCAGCUAACGCAUUAAGCACUCCGCCUGGGGAGUACGACCGCAAGGUUGAAACUCAAAGGAAUUGACGGGGACCCGCACAAGCGGUGGAGCAUGUGGUUUAAUUCGAAGCAACGCGAAGAACCUUACCAAAUCUUGACAUCCUUUGACAACUCUAGAGAUAGAGCCUUCCCCUUCGGGGGACAAAGUGACAGGUGGUGCAUGGUUGUCGUCAGCUCGUGUCGUGAGAUGUUGGGUUAAGUCCCGCAACGAGCGCAACCCUUAAGCUUAGUUGCCAUCAUUAAGUUGGGCACUCUAAGUUGACUGCCGGUGACAAACCGGAGGAAGGUGGGGAUGACGUCAAAUCAUCAUGCCCCUUAUGAUUUGGGCUACACACGUGCUACAAUGGACAAUACAAAGGGCAGCGAAACCGCGAGGUCAAGCAAAUCCCAUAAAGUUGUUCUCAGUUCGGAUUGUAGUCUGCAACUCGACUACAUGAAGCUGGAAUCGCUAGUAAUCGUAGAUCAGCAUGCUACGGUGAAUACGUUCCCGGGUCUUGUACACACCGCCCGUCACACCACGAGAGUUUGUAACACCCGAAGCCGGUGGAGUAACCUUUUAGGAGCUAGCCGUCGAAGGUGGGACAAAUGAUUGGGGUGAAGUCGUAACAAGGUAGCCGUAUCGGAAGGUGCGGCUGGAUCACCU